rnacentral:misc_RNA from 1 species
AACAUCGCGCACCUGCGGGAACCUGCGGAGGGAUCAUUACCGAGUUUACAACUCCCAAACCCCUGUGAACAUACCUAUACGUUGCCUCGGCGGAUCAGCCCGCGCCCUGUAAAACGGGACGGCCCGCCCGAGGACCCUAAACUCUGUUUUUAGUGGAACUUCUGAGUAAAACAAACAAAUAAAUCAAAACUUUUAGCAAUGGAUCU